AGGACGAACGCUGGCGGCGUGCUUAACACAUGCAAGUGGAGCGACGAACCAGGGCUUGCCCUGGGGCAGAGCCGCGAACGGGUGAGUAACACGUGGGUUACCUGCCUUGAUGACUGGGACAACCCGGGGAAACUCGGGCUAAUACCGGAUGUGCCCGCAAGGGGAAAGGAAGCUUCGGCCUCCGCAUCAAGAUGGGCCCGCGGCCCAUUAGCUUGUUGGUGAGGUAACGGCUCACCAAGGCUUCGAUGGGUAGCUGGUCUGAGAGGACGAUCAGCCACACUGGGACUGAGACACGGCCCAGACUCCUACGGGAGGCAGCAGUGGGGAAUCUUGCGCAAUGCGCGAAAGCGUGACGCAGCAACGCCGCGUGGGGGAAGAAGGCUUUCGGGUUGUAAACCCCUUUCAGUUUGGGACGAAGCUUCUUCGGUGAAUAGCCGAACGGAGUGACGGUACCUUCACAAGAAGCACCGGCUAACUACGUGCCAGCAGCCGCGGU
rnacentral:rRNA from 1 species